AUUGAACGCUGGCGGCAUGCCUUACACAUGCAAGUCGAACGGUAACAGGUUAAGCUGACGAGUGGCGAACGGGUGAGUAAUAUAUCGGAACGUGCCCAGUCGUGGGGGAUAACGUAGCGAAAGCUACGCUAAUACUGCAUACGAUCUACGGAUGAAAGCGGGGGAUCGCAAGACCUCGCGCGAUUGGAGCGGCCGAUAUCAGAUUAGGUUGUUGGUGAGGUAAAGGCUCACCAAGGCGACGAUCUGUAGCUGGUCUGAGAGGACGAUCAACCACACUGGGAGUGAGACACGGACCAGACUCCUACGGGAGGCAGCAGUGGGGAAUUUUGGACAAUGGGGGCAACCCUGAUCCAGCAAUGCCGCGUGCAGGAAGAAGGCCUUCGGGUUGUAAACUGCUUUUGUACGGAACGAAAAGGCUCUGGUUAAUACCUGGGGCACAUGACGGUACCGUAAGAAUAAGCACCGGCUAACUACGUGCCAGCCGCCGCCGUAA
rnacentral:rRNA from 1 species